UACGUAGGGGGCUAGCGUUGUCCGGAUUUAUUGGGCGUAAAGAGCGUGUAGGCGGCCAGGUAGGUCUGCUGUGAAAACUCGAGGCUUAACCUCGAGAUGUCGGCGGAAACCAUCUGGCUAGAGUCCGGAAGAGGAGAGUGGAAUUCCUGGUGUAGCGGUGAAAUGCGCAGAUAUCAGGAGGAACACCGGUGGCGAAGGCGGAUCUCUGGGCCGAUACUGACGCUGAGGAGCGAAAGCGUGGGGAGCGAACAGG
rnacentral:rRNA from 1 species